UGGGGAAUAUUGCACAAUGGGCGGAAGCCUGAUGCAGCGACGCCGCGUGGGGGAUGAAGGCCUUCGGGUUGUAAACUCCUUUCGACAGGGACGAAGCGUAAGUGACGGUACCUGUAUAAGAAGCACCGGCUAACUACGUGCCAGCAGCCGCGGUAAUACGUAGGGUGCGAGCGUUGUCCGGAAUUACUGGGCGUAAAGAGCUCGUAGGUGGUUUGUCGCGUCGUCUGUGAAAUUCCGGGGCUUAACUCCGGGCGCGCAGGCGAUACGGGCUGACUUGAGUGCUGUAGGGGAGACUGGAAUUCCUGGUGUAGCGGUGAAAUGCGCAGAUAUCAGGAGGAACACCGAUGGCGAAGGCAGGUCUCUGGGCAGUAACUGACGCUGAGGAGCGAAAGCAUGGGUAGCGAACAGGAUUAGAUACCCUGGUAGUCCAUGCCGUAAACGGUGGGCGCUAGGUGUAGGGGGCUUCCACGUCUUCUGUGCCGUAGCUAACGCAUUAAGCGCCCCGCCUGGGGAGUACGGCCGCAAGGCUA
rnacentral:rRNA from 1 species